UGAAAACUGCAAACCUGUAAUCUAGGCCGUCCCUGUUUGUUAAAACCAACGGUUUUGUUCAACGAUAACUCAACGAUUCAUCUCAAAUAGAACGAAGGUAUACACUGCAUCUGAAUCAUAGAUAAUGAAAAGGGACGUCACACGGUUGCACAUGGCCUAGACUAGAAACAUAGUCAAUGCUUACUCAAACAGAUAACUACUGAUAACAGCGGAUUCGACUUCGAUAAGUUGCUCUUUAGAGCUGUGUAGUGCUUCCGUAUCUCUGCACACGACACUUUUGCGCGCGCUUAUUUUCAAGUGACUGUAUUCUUAUGUGCGCUACCAUCGAAGGAAGGUAUGUCGUGUGAAAAGUAGCGUCCACUAUAAAAGUUUCGCGUAAGGCAUCAAACAGUAUCAAUAAUCCAGAAGUGCGAUAACAACGUGAAAGUGUUCUGAUCAGCAAUCGUCGUACCCGGUAAAUCGAAGCAAAAUCGAAAAGUUCAACAUGCCGUGCAAGUGCUGUAACAAUGAUUGCAGAUGUACCGCCGAAUGCGGCCAAGGUAAACCAUGCACUGCUGCAUGCAAUUGCAAUUGUACCUGCAAGAAGGAAACCGGCAAGGAUUGUUGCGAAACGGGAUGCUGCAAAAAGUGAAGGCGUUUAGGACUAUUGGACAUUACUGUUACUAAAUGAUCUAGGCGUACAAAACUAGUACAUCGUCACAUGAUGGCGUUUCAUAGAAUUUCUGAUUUGAAAAUACAGGAUAAUGCAGUUCGAAAAGAUGUCUAAACGACGUGUGUUUUAUAAAAAAGAAGACAAUACAAAUUUGGAGUUUGUUUUAUCAGAA